AAGAAGGAUCUGUAAAGCUCAGGAGGGAUAGCGCCAUAUAUAUACACACGAUCGAUCUCGCUAAUUUAGUACUUAAUCCAUGGCGCUAUCCAUCCUGAGUUUCACCGCUCCUUCUU
rfam:Erythranthe guttata cultivar DTN x IM62 scaffold_1_contig_29, whole genome shotgun sequence.